rnacentral:rRNA from 1 species
AUUGAACGCUGGCGGCAGGCCUAACACAUGCAAGUCGAGCGAGCGGCGGACGGGUGAGUAAUGUAUGGGGACUGCCCGAUAGAGGGGGAUAACUCCUGGAAACGGUAGCUAAUACCGCAUCCUAUCGGAUAACCCAUAUGGGAUUAGCUAGUAGGUGAGGUAAUGGCUCACCUAGGCGACGAUCCCGAGCUGGUCUGAGAGGAUGAUCAGCCAAUCUGGGACGGAGACACGGCCCAGACUCGGACGGAGGGAGCAGUGGGGAAGAAUGGACAAGGGGCGCAGGCCUGAGGCAGCCAUGCCGCGUGUAUGAAGAAGGCCCUAGGGUUGUAAAGUACUUUCAGUCGUGAGGCGGUACCGACAGAAGAAGAACCGGGUAACUCCGUGCCAGCAGCCGCGGUAAGAC